rnacentral:rRNA from 1 species
GACGAACGCUGGCGGCGUGCUUAACACAUGCAAGUCGAACGGGAUUUAGUAAACGGAAGCCUCGGUGGAAGAUUACUAAUGAGAGUGGCGAACGGGUGAGUAACGCGUGAGCAACCUGCCUAUGACAGUGGGAUAGCCUCGGGAAACCGGGAUUAAUACCGCAUAAAAUCGUAGAAACACAUGUUUCAACGGUCAAAGAUUUAUCGGUCAUAGAUGGGCUCGCGUCUGAUUAGCUAGUUGGUGAGAUAACAGCCCACCAAGGCGACGAUCAGUAGCCGGUCUGAGAGGAUGAACGGCCACAUUGGAACUGAGACACGGUCCAAACUCCUACGGGAGGCAGCAGUGGAGAAUACUGCACAAUGGGGGAAACCCUGAUGCAGCGACGCCGCGUGAACGAAGAAGGUAUUCGUAUCGUAAAGUUCUGUCCUAUGGGAAGAUAAUGACAGUACCAUAGAAGAAAGCUCCGGCUAAAUACGUG